rnacentral:rRNA from 1 species
UGGGGAAUAUUGGACAAUGGGGGCAACCCUGAUCCAGCCAUGCCGCGUGAGUGAUGAAGGCCUUCGGGUUGUAAAGCUCUUUUGGCGGGGACGAUGAUGACGGUACCCGCAGAAUAAGCCCCGGCUAACUUCGUGCCAGCAGCCGCGGUAAGACGAAGGGGGCAAGCGUUGUUCGGAAUUACUGGGCGUAAAGGGCGCGUAGGCGGUUUGCUUAGUCAGGCGUGAAAGCCCUGGGCUUAACCUGGGAUGCGCGCUUGAUACUGGCAGGCUUGAGUGUGGGAGAGGUUGGUGGUAUUCCCAGUGUAGAGGUGAAAUUCGUAGAUAUUGGGAAGAACACCGGUGGCGAAGGCGGCCAACUGGACCACAACUGACGCUGAGGCGCGAAAGCGUGGGGAGCAAAC